rnacentral:lncRNA from 1 species
GCUAAUGUACGUACAUAUUAAAGUCAAGAAAAGAGGACAUUUCCCCAACUUUAUAAACAUAUGUUAACUAUGCUAAACAAAUAUUUCAGAUUUUCAUAACUUGCGGACUAAUUUACGUAUUAAAAUUGAGAAAAGAGGGCACAUCCUCAACUUUAUAUACAUAUAUUAAAUAUACAACAACAAAUAUUUGAGAUUUUUAUAACUUGUACAUAUUAAAGUUAAGAAAAGAGGACAUAUCCUCA